GGGUUGUGAGGUUAAGCGACUAAGCGUACACGGUGGAUGCCCUGGCAGUCAGAGGCGAUGAAGGACGUGCUAAUCUGCGAUAAGCGUCGGUAAGGUGAUAUGAACCGUUAUAACCGGCGAUUUCCGAAUGGGGAAACCCAGUGUGAUUCGUCACACUAUCAUUAACUGAAUCCAUAGGUUAAUGAGGCGAACCGGGGGAACUGAAACAUCUAAGUACCCCGAGGAAAAGAAAUCAACCGAGAUUCCCCCAGUAGCGGCGAGCGAACGGGGAGCAGCCCAGAGCCUGAAUCAGUGUGUGUGUUAGUGGAAGCGUCUGGAAAGGCGCGCGAUACAGGGUGACAGCCCCGUACACAAAAAUGCACAUGCUGUGAGCUCGAUGAGUAGGGCGGGACACGUGGUAUCCUGUCUGAAUAUGGGGGGACCAUCCUCCAAGGCUAAAUACUCCUGACUGACCGAUAGUGAACCAGUACCGUGAGGGAAAGGCGAAAAGAACCCCGGCGAGGGGAGUGAAAAAGAACCUGAAACCGUGUACGUACAAGCAGUGGGAGCACGCUUCGGCGUGUGACUGCGUACCUUUUGUAUAAUGGGUCAGCGACUUAUAUUCUGUAGCAAGGUUAACCGAAUAGGGGAGCCGAAGGGAAACCGAGUCUUAACUGGGCGUUAAGUUGCAGGGUAUAGACCCGAAACCCGGUGAUCUAGCCAUGGGCAGGUUGAAGGUUGGGUAACACUAACUGGAGGACCGAACCGACUAAUGUUGAAAAAUUAGCGGAUGACUUGUGGCUGGGGGUGAAAGGCCAAUCAAACCGGGAGAUAGCUGGUUCUCCCCGAAAGCUAUUUAGGUAGCGCCUCGUGAAUUCAUCUCCGGGGGUAGAGCACUGUUUCGGCAAGGGGGUCAUCCCGACUUACCAACCCGAUGCAAACUGCGAAUACCGGAGAAUGUUAUCACGGGAGACACACGGCGGGUGCUAACGUCCGUCGUGAAGAGGGAAACAACCCAGACCGCCAGCUAAGGUCCCAAAGUCAUGGUUAAGUGGGAAACGAUGUGGGAAGGCCCAGACAGCCAGGAUGUUGGCUUAGAAGCAGCCAUCAUUUAAAGAAAGCGUAAUAGCUCACUGGUCGAGUCGGCCUGCGCGGAAGAUGUAACGGGGCUAAACCAUGCACCGAAGCUGCGGCAGCGACGCUUAUGCGUUGUUGGGUAGGGGAGCGUUCUGUAAGCCUGUGAAGGUGUGCUGUGAGGCAUGCUGGAGGUAUCAGAAGUGCGAAUGCUGACAUAAGUAACGAUAAAGCGGGUGAAAAGCCCGCUCGCCGGAAGACCAAGGGUUCCUGUCCAACGUUAAUCGGGGCAGGGUGAGUCGACCCCUAAGGCGAGGCCGAAAGGCGUAGUCGAUGGGAAACAGGUUAAUAUUCCUGUACUUGGUGUUACUGCGAAGGGGGGACGGAGAAGGCUAUGUUGGCCGGGCGACGGUUGUCCCGGUUUAAGCGUGUAGGCUGGUUUUCCAGGCAAAUCCGGAAAAUCAAGGCUGAGGCGUGAUGACGAGGCACUACGGUGCUGAAGCAACAAAUGCCCUGCUUCCAGGAAAAGCCUCUAAGCAUCAGGUAACAUCAAAUCGUACCCCAAACCGACACAGGUGGUCAGGUAGAGAAUACCAAGGCGCUUGAGAGAACUCGGGUGAAGGAACUAGGCAAAAUGGUGCCGUAACUUCGGGAGAAGGCACGCUGAUAUGUAGGUGAAGUCCCUUGCGGAUGGAGCUGAAAUCAGUCGAAGAUACCAGCUGGCUGCAACUGUUUAUUAAAAACACAGCACUGUGCAAACACGAAAGUGGACGUAUACGGUGUGACGCCUGCCCGGUGCCGGAAGGUUAAUUGAUGGGGUUAGCCGCAAGGCGAAGCUCUUGAUCGAAGCCCCGGUAAACGGCGGCCGUAACUAUAACGGUCCUAAGGUAGCGAAAUUCCUUGUCGGGUAAGUUCCGACCUGCACGAAUGGCGUAAUGAUGGCCAGGCUGUCUCCACCCGAGACUCAGUGAAAUUGAACUCGCUGUGAAGAUGCAGUGUACCCGCGGCAAGACGGAAAGACCCCGUGAACCUUUACUAUAGCUUGACACUGAACAUUGAGCCUUGAUGUGUAGGAUAGGUGGGAGGCUUUGAAGUGUGGACGCCAGUCUGCAUGGAGCCGACCUUGAAAUACCACCCUUUAAUGUUUGAUGUUCUAACGUUGACCCGUAAUCCGGGUUGCGGACAGUGUCUGGUGGGUAGUUUGACUGGGGCGGUCUCCUCCUAAAGAGUAACGGAGGAGCACGAAGGUUGGCUAAUCCUGGUCGGACAUCAGGAGGUUAGUGCAAUGGCAUAAGCCAGCUUGACUGCGAGCGUGACGGCGCGAGCAGGUGCGAAAGCAGGUCAUAGUGAUCCGGUGGUUCUGAAUGGAAGGGCCAUCGCUCAACGGAUAAAAGGUACUCCGGGGAUAACAGGCUGAUACCGCCCAAGAGUUCAUAUCGACGGCGGUGUUUGGCACCUCGAUGUCGGCUCAUCACAUCCUGGGGCUGAAGUAGGUCCCAAGGGUAUGGCUGUUCGCCAUUUAAAGUGGUACGCGAGCUGGGUUUAGAACGUCGUGAGACAGUUCGGUCCCUAUCUGCCGUGGGCGCUGGAGAACUGAGGGGGGCUGCUCCUAGUACGAGAGGACCGGAGUGGACGCAUCACUGGUGUUCGGGUUGUCAUGCCAAUGGCACUGCCCGGUAGCUAAAUGCGGAAGAGAUAAGUGCUGAAAGCAUCUAAGCACGAAACUUGCCCCGAGAUGAGUUCUCCCUGACCCUUUAAGGGUCCUGAAGGAACGUUGAAGACGACGACGUUGAUAGGCCGGGUGUGUAAGCGCAGCGAUGCGUUGAGCUAACCGGUACUAAUGAACCGUGAGGCUUAACCUUACAACGCCGAAGCUGUU
rnacentral:rRNA from 1 species